ensembl:lncRNA
CGAGGGUCCUCCCCCUGCCAGGCCUCAAGGAGGGACACUAAGCAGAGACCCAGGUCCAUGGGAGCAGCCACAAGUGGGUGGAGAUCUACAGCAAGAUCACAUGGUCCCCCAAGGCUAGAGGCAACCUAGGGGUCCUUGGACCCUGGCAGGGUAGGGCAGGGUCCUAGCAGGGGCUCCUCGAUUGAGCUCCCUCCCUUUACUGCUACACCCACAAGCAGCUCCAGCUGCUGGUGGGAGAGCCAGGGCUAUUGCCUCCUCUAAGGGAGCUGUGGCCCCUGGUGGGGGACCUGGAGAUGUGGACAGGUGACCUCAGGGUGUGGUUUUGCACCCAGAAGAGGCUAUUACUCAGGGCAGGGAGUGCUGGUCUAGACUCUGGGGUCUGGGAGGAGCUGAAAGGGAGAGUGCCCUGGGUUGGUGGGAGCCCUUUCAGAGUUCGGCACCAUCCAGGUCUCCCCGAAGGGCAGUGGUCACACCAACAUUCAUGCUGCUGUCUGUCCCCAGCAGAGUGUAAGUGCCAGGAGGGACAGCUUGGAGAGAUACGUGGCUGAGUGUGCACCCUCGGAUGUUGCCUGGCAUAUGGGAUCGAACUCAGGACCUUGCAUUUGCAAGACAGGCGCGGCGCCACUGAGCUAAAUCCCCAGCCUUCAUUUACUUACUUUUGAGAUAUUCAUCCAGGAUCCAGGAGGUGCCAUGGUGGGAGGAAGCUACAGGAGCAGUCCAGAGCCUGCCUGUCCCACAGGCUUGGCCAUGCCGUGCCAUGCCAUGGCUCUCCACCCCAACCACUGGUCCUCCCAGCUGUCCCCAGAUUCCCAGAACAGAUUCCCCCCUUGGAUAACCCAUGCUGUAUUAGGCUACCAAGCUCCAGCAGCUUGUUCCUCAUCAAGGGAUCUCUAGCCACCUAUCUGGCAGAAUCACAGGCAGCCUGGCACACAGUAGGUACUCAGUAAAGGUUUGUGGAGUACAUUUAAUCACCAAGCCACAUGCGUAGUCCCCAUGGAGUUCUGCGAGUGCAGGAAGUAGAUGUGAGAAGCCCUAGGAAGGUGUUGGGUACUUGGGAAUCAGCUUCAGUGUGCUGCUUCUGGCAGGAUACCCCCAACACACACACACACACACACACACACACUCACUCACUCACUGCCCCAACUCCCUACCAAGGCCUGACAGGAAUACUCCCUGGUCCUCCAGGGGCCAUCCAGGCCUGGGGUUGGCUCUGGCCUGGGACUCCAGGAGUCGUCCUGCUCACUCUGCAGGGUGGUAGGGUGGCAAAAGGUACUGGCUAGACAGAGAGCCCUUCGAAGCCUUUAGCCAGGUAUCAGGCACCUUUCCUGUCUGCCCUGGCUGGGACUAACAAACGAGAAGGGUGUUAUACCUGGCAGAGACCAGGAGACAGGGACAGGCCAAGUCCUUGGGAGGCCUGGACUCCUAUGAUGAGGACUAGAGCUGGGGGUGGGGGUGGGGGUGUCCACCCAAAGAACUUCUAGAAAGCCAGGUGGAUCUGCUAGCCUCAGAAACCAAGUCCAGGACCUUGGAGAUGCCUGGUCUGGGAUGUGGGGGCUCUUGCUGGGCUCCAGGGAGCCCUGUGAUGUUCUUGCAUCUCCAGGUCUGAGCACAGCCCUGCUUAGACCUUCCAGCAGGUAUCCUGGUCAUUCUUCUCACUGCUGGCCAGUAGAG